rnacentral:rRNA from 1 species
AGCAGCCGCGGUAAUUCCAGCUCCAAUAGCGUAUAUUAAAGUUGCUGCAGUUAAAAAGCUCGUAGUUGAAUUUCGGGACCAUCAUGUCGGUCGUGCCUCGGUACGUACUGGCAUUGUUGGUUUCUACCUUCUGACGAACCAUGAUGUCAUUUAUUUGGUGUCGUGGGAAAUCAGGACUGUUACUUUGAAAAAAUUGAGUGUUUAAAGCAGGCUCACGCUUGAAUACAUUAGCAUGGAAUAAUGAAAUAGGACGUUUGAUUCUAUUUUGUUGGUUUCUAGGAUCGACGUAAUGAUUAAUAGGGAUAGUUGGGGGCAUUAGUAUUCAAUUGUCAGAGGUGAAAUUCUUGGAUUUAUUGAAGACUAACUACUGCGAAAGCAUUUGCCAAGGAUGUUUUCAUUAAUCAAGAACGAAAGUUAGGGGAUCGAAGACGAUCAGAUACCGUCGUAGUCUUAGCCAUAAACUAUGCCGACUAGGGAUCGGAUGAUGUUAAUUUUUAAUGACUCAUU